UCCAUAGCUCUUGUUUGGGUUGAAGUGAACUCUGGUGCAGUUCGAAUGCAUAUGUGAACACCAAGCAGUUCUUAAAAACAUAGUGUGAUUCUAUUAACCAGUGUCAUUGCUUUUAAAUUGUUUCAUAUUGUUUUACACUUGUGCAUAUGUAUUAAUUAGUUUUAUUUUUGUGUAACUAGGUUGUUAUGUAACGCAGACUUCUGCCCAGAUCCCUCUUGAAAGUGAGAUCUAGAUCUCAACACAAUUUGUGUGGUUAAUUAAAGGAAAUAAAAAAUUUUUUAAAAAGCAGAUGGGAGCCUGCUCCAAAAGCAGAAAGCCGACUAUAGCACAGGUCAUGCUGGUCCUGCAACUCUUAGAUAUCUCCCUUGUCCAACACACUUGAAUCCAAUAGCUGAAUCACCUCCUAAGUGCAGUCAAGUUCUCCAGAGUCCUGC